AUUGAACGCUGGCGGCAGGCCUAACACAUGCAAGUCGAACGGUAACAGGAAACAGCUUGCUGUUUCGCUGACGAGUGGCGGACGGGUGAGUAAUGUCUGGGAAACUGCCUGAUGGAGGGGGAUAACUACUGGAAACGGUAGCUAAUACCGCAUAACGUCGCAAGACCAAAGAGGGGGACCUUCGGGCCUCUUGCCAUCGGAUGUGCCCAGAUGGGAUUAGCUAGUAGGUGGGGUAACGGCUCACCUAGGCGACGAUCCCUAGCUGGUCUGAGAGGAUGACCAGCCACACUGGAACUGAGACACGGUCCAGACUCCUACGGGAGGCAGCAGUGGGGAAUAUUGCACAAUGGGCGCAAGCCUGAUGCGGCCAUGCCGCGUGUAUGAAGAAGGCCUUCGGGUUGUAAAGUACUUUCAGCGGGGAGGAAGGGAGUAAAGUUAAUACCUUUACUCAUUGACGUUACCCGCAGAAGAAGCACCGGCUAACUCCGUG
rnacentral:rRNA from 1 species